GAUAAAUGUUGUGGCACUACUGCUAGCCGUGUAUCUUUUCAAAUGGGAUCACCAGUCAAUAGAGAGGAUAUAUUAAGUUUAUAUCAAGCCAAAAUUACAAGUUCUACAACACAUGUAACUUAAUUUUCAUAUGUGUACAAUCAUACAUGUAGCACUGAGCAUUCUUAAAAGUUGUAAAUGCAGUCCAAAUGCUGAGACAAGACAAUAUAUGCCACAGGAGAUUCCUAGUUCAUUUAGGUCAUUAGGG
rnacentral:lncRNA from 1 species